AGGGCACCACCAGGAGUGGAGCCUGCGGCUUAAUUUGACUCAACACGGGAAAACUCACCCGGCCCGGACACUGGAAGGAUUGACAGAUUGAGAGCUCUUUCUUGAUUCAGUGGGUGGUGGUGCAUGGCCGUUCUUAGUUGGUGGAGUGAUUUGUCUGGUUAAUUCCGAUAACGAACGAGACUCUAGCCUACUAAAUAGAUCGUCGGCUUACAAACGCCGGCGAGACUUCUUAGAGGGACAGGCGGUGAUUCAACCGCACGAAACAGAGCAAUAACAGGUCUGUGAUGCCCUUAGAUGUCCGGGGCCGCACGCGCGCUACACUGAAGUGAUCAGCGUGCUUUUUCAACCUACUCUGUCAAGAGUGGGGAACCCAAUGAACCUUCUUCGUGAUUGGGAUAGGGGAUUGUAAUUAUUCCCCUUGGACGAGGAAUUCCCAGUAAGCGCGAGUCAUAAGCUCGCGUUGAUUACGUCCCUGCCCUUUGUACACACCGCCCGUCGCUACUACCGAUUGAAUGUUUU
rnacentral:rRNA from 1 species